AACUACUUCUCACACACACCGACACAUAAUUCGGGUGCCAGUACGCUGGUUGGAUUAUGGGGUAUGUGGAGGCUCAAC
rnacentral:sRNA from 1 species